GGGGUGCUGCCUGACGAUCACCCCAACUGUGUUGCUGCUGCCCGCUCCAGAGCUCUGCUCCAGUCUGAUGUUGUGGUCCUACUUGGUGCCAGACUCAACUGGAUCCUGCACUUUGGCCUUCCCCCCAGGUCAAUGUCAAGGUUGAUCUGUGUGCUGAGGAGAUGGGGAACAACGUGCAACCUGCUGCUGCUCUCCUGGGGGACAUCAAUACUAUUGUCAAGCAGGUAACACAACACAGUCCUGGGGGACUGGAGAUCCUGGUUUGAAUCCAGGCUCUGUCGUAGCCGGCCGCGACCGGGAGACCCAUGGGGCGGCGCACAAUU